ensembl:lncRNA
AGCUCAAAGUUGCAAAUUAUAUUUUAUUCAGGGAGUUAACUGAGUACUACAGCCUGGGAAACAGGCUCUCAGAUAGCCCCGAGAUACUGUUCCAAAGAGGUAAGGGAGGAUCCAGAAUAUACAGAAGUUUCUGUUGAAAACAAAUAAACGUCUAUUUGAACAUCAAAAGAGUACAGCUCAUCACAAAAAAAGACAUCUUGAGUUAAUGAUUUUAGUGCUUUUCUAUGUAUGAAACGAUGCAAAAAGUCUGAGCCCAUUGAAAUUAUUCCUUAGAUAUGCAUCUUAACUGUCUAGGGUGAGUAUCCUGUUUUUCUCCAUCCUGAGUUCCUCUGAGGGUGCACCAUCUCGGGGGCGGCGGGGUUGGGCAGCUGCAAUGGUUGAUGGCUUGAUGAUGGGCAACUUUUCUUGUUUACUGAAAUGGCAAGCAACACUUCUUUUGUCCAUGCUUUCGUAGAUUUUCCAGAGAUCUAAGAUCAACUGGCAGGUGUUAAGGCUAUAGACAAUUAAAAGUCCUGGGAUGUCUUCUCACAAAACCAUUUUUUAUCACAAGCUUCCAUACUCCCAUGUUUUGCAUUUGAAUUUUUUAAUGGAUGAUUUUACAUUUAUCCCUAUUAAGUUUAUUCUUAUUCAUGUCAGCCUAUUCUUUUAGUUUAUUAAGACCUUUUGCCUCUCUUGGUUUCAUUUGACAUUUAAUGAAUUAGGCUUCUCUCUCAGCUUUGUCACACCUGCAGUUUUGAUAAACAUGUCUUUUGUGUCUUCAUCCAUCAUUAACUGAAAUUUUGAACUGGAUAAACUAUAGAUAGCACUUGGGAGUCUGUCACUGUGACUUCCCUUCGGGUAGGCAGUGAUUCAUUAAGCUGCUGACAUUCUUUGAAUGAAGUUGUUCAAUUAGCUACAAAUCUACUCAACUGUACUGUCAUUCACAUCAUUCCUGUCCACAGGAUGUUAAAUUCUUUGCUGAAAUUAAGAUAUAUUUUUGUCUGUGAUAUUCCCGUGAUCUCCAUGACCUGAAAAGCAGAUGUCAGGAUGCUUCCUCUGCUCAACCCUUAGGGCUUAUCAAGUAGGACAAAGCUUGGCUUUCAAAGAUCCCAAGCCAAUGGCUCCCAAGCUGGAAUCACCUGGAAGUUUUAAAACCCUGGUCUCCAGAUCACAUUCUCAGAAAUUUGGAUUACUGGCUUGGGUGUGGAUGGGCGUCAGUGUUUUUUAAAGGUCUACAGGGGAUUCUAAUAUAUAGCCAAUAAUUCUGAAAGUGGAGUUCAGACCAGCAGCAUCAGCAUCACCUGGAACUUGUUAAAAUGCAAAUUUUCACUGCACGUCCCCCAAUCCUGCUGCCUCCAAUCUGCUCCAAUCCACAGAAUCAGAAACUGCAAAGGAGGAGCUCAGGAAACUGUUUUAACAAGCCCUCCAGGUGAGUUGGAUAUAUACCAAGGUUUGAGAACUUAGGUUGAAAGCCUGUUCUAGGCUUUCCUUUCUCCUGGUUUAAAAAAGAUUGCCCUGUCAAGUGCUAUCGACCCUGAAAACGUCUGGUCUGAGGCCAAUUACAGCUCUCUAAAGCUGCAGGAGCUGGCAGGAUACUGCGCGCAGAGGCCUCGCACAAAACCCUUCAGACCAUAGUUCCUGGCAUCAAACAGCACCACUCGACACCUCAGCUUGGGGACCGUGUGCAGAAGCUUCUCACAAGAUGUUGUGAUUCAAGAUGGCAGGGGUUUGGAGAUACUGCUUUCAGCCUGUCCGUUUUGCGAGAACUCUACCCUCCUUCCCCAGAAGGGGAACUCUAAGAAGCAGCACCAACCACAACCUGUCCUGGAGGGGAGAGUGUGUGUGCUCUUGAGUAUACAGAAUGUAGCACUGCAACUGAUAUAAUACCGUCUACUGAGUUUCCAGCUCAUUCUUUAGAGCCCUGUGUCUUCAUGGUCAAAGCUCCUGGGUGAUCCCCAGCUGGUUGGAAUCAUCUGCCUUCACAUCCACCAGAAAAGCUCCAUUCAAAAUGAUUUAUAAUAGAUUUGUAUAUCUGUGUAUCUGCUUACUCUGAUCAUUCCCCUUGUAUCUAAUAACACUGUUGUCCAC